GCCUGGGUGGCUCAGUCGGUUGAGUGUCGGACUUCUGCUCAGGUCAUGAUCUCAUGGUUCGUGGGUUCGAGCCCCGCAUCGGGCU
rfam:Felis catus isolate Cinnamon breed Abyssinian chromosome C1, whole genome shotgun sequence.